GGCCUUGGUAAUCCUAUCUCUGGGAUUCUAGCCUAAGGAAUGCUAAAGCCCAUAAUACUUGGGAUUCUUUUCAUUCUCUGCUAGGGAGGGCUGACCCACUGCCCACAGCGUGCACACAGUCUUGGCCUUUGCCCCACUGAGCUCGGCCAGGAAACCCCAGGGGACAGACAUCCUUGAAGACUGAUGGCGAAAACUGAUGUAAAAGGCCACAAACUGAUACCACCUUGGUAUCAGGUAGGAACUCUUGAUCAUCAGCAACGGGGAGCUGCCCCCUGUGAAUGACUCGGAAGAGGAAGUCAGGACACACAGAGAGACCCCAGGAAUACGUGUCCACAGGAAGGCCACGUGGGGACACAGUGAGAAAUCAGCCACUGGCAAGCUGAGGAGACAGGCCGCAGAAGAAGCCAAACCUUCCAACACCUUGGUGUCUGACAUGCAGCUCCCAGAACUGUGAGAAGUAAAUGUAAGCCCCCCUCCCUGACCCAUGCCGCAGUGCUCUGUCAUGGCGACCCUAGCAGACUGACAUACCCACCCACCCACCCACCCAGAGCAGAAUAGACUUGUGCCCCCUGGCACGCCAGGUUUCAAGGAAAUGUCUGCUGUAUCACCCCCCACACGUUGAGGUGGCUGUCCACUCACACGCCCACCUGCCCCGAAAGCCUGGGAGCUCCCCAAGAACCACGUCUAGGUCUCUGUUGUCUCACCCCAUCCUAAAUGGCGGGUGUCAGGAGGGGGUAACUGAGAUGAUACGUGUAAAGCCCUCCGUGUAGAGCCGCGAGGGCUCAGCGCCCAGUGCAUCGGGAGCCCCGGGCCACCACUCACCUGCUCAUGCCCCCAGCCGGGCCACGACAGGUGCUCCUGAGGAACUGCUGAGCUGAGUUGAAAGACGGGCUGUGAGCAACUGAAUAUACACGCAGACAAUGGCCAGACCAAACAUAAAAACAGAACUGUGGCCCACAGCCUGCAGCACCCUGCCCAGAGAGCCAACCCACUAGCCACGGUAACCAGCCGAGGAGGCCAGUCUGCUCCAUGUCCGACUUGCAGGGAGUCAGACUGCCAUCUCUUCUGAUGGUCCAGGAAGCCCUGUAACACUCCCGUAACAACUGGCCCCAAACAGCCGGGACUUGACUACUGACAAUGUCUCUGAUUUUUAUUCCAAUUUCCAACUUAGGGCUAACUCCGGAAAGCCAAAAUGCACCCUAACCAGUCACAUAGGAUGCCCCCUGCAAGCUGGCCUGCCUCCAGCUUCGCCUUUUAUCCUCUACAAAGCUUUCCUGCCCCUCCGCUGCCUUUGAGUCUCUCCUCGAUGCCGCCCGCCAGCUGCUUACUCCCCUGCGGGAGCCAGCUCGGAGUAAACAGCCUGUGCUUCUCA